rnacentral:rRNA from 1 species
UCCAGACUCCUACGGGAGGCAGCAGUGGGGAAUAUUGCACAAUGGGGGAAACCCUGAUGCAGCAACGCCGCGUGAGUGAAGAAGUAUUUCGGUAUGUAAAGCUCUAUCAGCAGGGAAGAAGAUGACGGUACCUGAGUAAGAAGCCCCGGCUAACUACGUGCCAGCAGCCGCGGUAAUACGUAGGGGGCAAGCGUUAUCCGGAUUUACUGGGUGUAAAGGGAGCGCAGACGGUGAGACAAGUCUGAAGUGAAAGCCCGGGGCUCAACCCCGGGACUGCUUUGGAAACUGCCUGACUGGAGUGCUGGAGAGGCAAGCGGAAUUCCUAGUGUAGCGGUGAAAUGCGUAGAUAUUAGGAAGAACACCAGUGGCGAAGGCGGCUUGCUGGACAGUAACUGACGUUGAGGCUCGAAAGCGCGGGGAGCAAACAGGAUUAGAUACCCUUGUA